rnacentral:tRNA from 1 species
GGAUCUGUCACUGUACGGGGCCCAUGUCACGCCCUGCGUUCGACUGAAAAUCGAAAGGUCACCGGAUCGAUGCCGGUCGGAGCCACCA